CGCCCUAGUCCGAGAGCUCCCGAUCGCCAAUCCGCCUGCAGCAAGUUUGUUCAACUCGAAAGGCUGUAACCGGAGCCGGGGAAAGGGGGGUGGGGCUUUGAGGCCCCUGCUCCCUAAAGACGAAAAAAAGAGAGCUAUUUUGAGGGUAUGAAACAGAAGGUGCUGAGUAAGGCAGUGGAAAGACUAGGAACCUGAACCAUCCUGCAGUAUUUAAGAGCACAGGAUCACCUUUUCUCUUGGGUCUUCAACCGCCUCCAGUAACCACGUCGAAAACAAAGACACUAGAAUGAGUAAAUGGAUAAAGAAAAUGUGCCAGGUCAUCCUUGAAGCUAUGUGUUUGAAUGUGUUGAUCUGCAGCUUGGAAGAAGCUUUGAAAGAGUGUGCCUCAGAUUGGAACUUAAACUGAUGUGCCAGGACUCGAACCCAGCCUAAACCCACAGUCUUCCAACUGAGAUCACACACCUGGUUUCAGGAUCUAAUGAAGCUCAGGCUCUUGAUGUCUCAUCACAGAAAGAAUUCAGCGAGAGACGAAGUGAUAGCAUGUAACAAAUUGGAUUAUUGUAUGUCCUCCAACAUCAAGGUCACUGCAGAACACACAGGAAGGACCUGCAGCCCAAACAGUAUGUUUUUCUGUUUUCUUGGCUGGAAUGCCACCAUUUCAUAUUCAUUCCGAUAGAUGUUUUUAUCUCCAGGUAAAAUGUAGCCACGUAUGAGUAUAAGAUACAUCUCCAAAGUGUGGAAUAGAAGUCGACCCUUGAAAUUCCAGAAAAGUUAUUUGAACUUUUAUCUUCAAACACAUAUGUUUUUUACCAAAAAAAAAAAAAAAAAAAAAAAAAAAAGGGAAAGAAAUUAAGCUCUACUAAUUUUUUUUAAUAUUUAUUUGGGUGCACCGGGUCUUAGCUGUGGCAUGCAGGAUCUUUAGUUGCAGCAUGCGAAGUCUUAGUUGUGCCCUAUGGGAUCUAGUUUCCUGACUGAGGAUGGAACCUGGGCCCCCUGCAUUCGGAGCUCAGAGUCUUAACCACUGGAGCACCAGGGAAGUCCCAGCUCCACUAAUAUUUAAUAUGAGGAUGAGUGGUGGCCCUCCCCAUUUGAUCCAUAACGGGGCAGGCACUCAGGGUGUUCUGGGAGAGGAUGGUAACACGGUGCAGGGAGGGGAGGACUCUCUCCUUUGUUCACUUUCAACAUAUUGCCACGUCUUGCAGUUUCUGUAUCUAACUAAACUGUGGGUUUACAGAUGAUGUUUAAGUUAGCUAACUGUUAUAGCAUGGAUCAAUGGAGACAGUGUUAAUAAUGCAAGAACAGGCACACACAACGGGCUGAGCUGACAUUUCUGGCACCCCUUGAGAGCCGCACUGCAAGGUGAAAAACUAAUGACUAAUCAGAUCUGACAAGAAGUUGGCAAUAACUGUUAAAAGUAUUUUAAAAAUUGUUUUAAGUAUGAAUUUAUUUUUGCUAACAUCUUCACCCAAAGUAUGUAUUACAAUUAUUAGAUAAUGCUGUUCUGAACCAGUCACACUUAGCUAAUCACUUAAAAGCUAGACCUCCAAACUUGAAGAUAGAGCUUAACAAUAUUUCUAAAAUAUUUAAGGAAUGUACUAUUCAAGCCAAUACUUUAAAGAAAAUUCACCAAUUAUAAAUGUCACGAAGCCUUUUCUGAGCAUCCUUAAAAAUGAAAAGUCAAAAAGCAUCAUGCUGUUGGGAAAAUAAUUUUCUUCUUGUGAAGAUAAAAAUGUUUGAAAUAAUACAUGGAACACGAAUGGAGAAAGAAAACCUGCAUUCCUUUGACAGCAAAUACGUUGAGAAUAUGCAUGUAAAACAUUGCUAAAGACCUAAGGACACAAGUAUUGGAACAUGUUACACAGUGUGGGACGUUUACUGUCAUGUUAAAGGGAAAGCACAGAUGUUUUUAAUAUGUCUCACAGUUACGGUAUUGGAGAGAUUCUCUUUCAGUGUAGCAUUUACUAGAUUGUGUUUCAAUAAUGAAAUAUAGUUUAAAAUGACAAUUCUGUGAGCUACUACUGAAGGAAAGCUAUAGUAGAGAAGAUAUUCUUUCUCUAAUACAUCUUUCAAAGGUAUUUUCAAUAACAGUUGACCUACAAAAAUAAAAACUAUGUAUUAUGCAAAACUUGUGUAAGUGUAACCACUGAUGGAUGAGUUACUUAGACUAAAAAAAUAAAAGUAAAUUUAAAAAACUUAAAGAAAGGGAGUAUUCCAAGCUAAGAUUACAGUGACAGCAACCACAUGAAAUUCAUUUGAGGUAUAUCUCGAAAGCAGUUAUUCCAACAAGGAAGCUGGAGCCAGAAACUGAGGCUCAUUUUGUGAAAACAAAACUUAUAUAGCAGGUUUUUUUUUUAAUUUCUUCACUGUGAAAUAUAACACAUACAGAGAAGUGAAAUAUAACACAUACAGAGAAGUGCAUAAUGCCUAUACACAUAGUUAAUAAAUAAUUAUAAAAUAAACAUUCGUGAGCAAUCUCCCAGGCCAGAAAAUGGAGUAUUAUCAGCACUCAUGCAAGGGUGCACCCUCCCAAACACUACACGCCCCCCACACACACACACAUCCGUGCACACACACAUCCGUGCACACACACAUCCGUGCGCACACAGGUGCCCUCCUCAGUUACAGUUCUCUUCUUUUUCUUAGAGAUGAUCAUGAGCCUGACUUUUGUGAUGAUUAUUUCUUUAUUUUUCGUUACAGUUUUACUGCCUAUCUGUGCAUUCCUAAGUGAAUAUCUUGUUGUUUCUUCUCUUUGCCCUUUGUGUAAGUGGCAUCACACUACGCACAGGACUCUUUUGUGUCUUGGUUCUUGUGCUCAUCAUGGUUUGUAAGAUUCAUUUAUGUUGACAUAGCUGUGGUGUGUUCCUUUCAUUCCCUUUUAUUGCUGAAUAGCAUCCAGUGGAUAUAAAAAUUAUCAUUUGCUUAUCCAUUCCAUUUUAGAUGCACACGUGGGUUAUUUCUAGUUUUUGCCUAUUAUAAACAAAGCCGCUAGAGUCACUCUUGUUUUAAAAUUAUAAUAUCUUGGUGGGUACGCUGGAUCACAGGGUAUGUGGAUGUCCAACUUUGGUAGAUAGUACCCAACUGAUUUCAAAAGUGGUUUUAAGUAUCACACUCCCAAUAGCAGGGCAUGAGACGUCUUCCUAUAUUUCUUAACAUACUUAAUACUUAGUAUAUGCCAGAUGUCAUACUGAGUUCUUUAUAAAUAUUGACUUUUUAAAUUCUCAAAUAACCGUAUUGAGUUGAUUUUAUUAUCAUCCUAAUUUACAGGAGAGAAAAUUGUGGCAUAGAGAGGCUAAGUAACUUGCCCACAGCUAUUCAAGUAGUGAGAAUCCAGGAGCUGGGAUUCUAACUUAGACAACUGGCUCCAGGGUCUAUGCCCUUACCCACUAUGCUAUGUUGACAUUUGAAAAUUUUCCUUUUGUAUGUAAUUUUUGUGAUUGAAAAUGCAUAUAACCUAUAGAACUCUGAUAUCUUAUAGGAUUUUUUAACCCACUUGAGUAACAUUAGGUAAGAUGGAAAUGCAUCCAUCAGAUUUAACCAAAAUCUUUGCAUUAUGAGUGAUGAGACUGAAAAAUAAAUAUGAUUUAGCAACCCAGCUAAUGAAGCAGUUCUUCCAUUUAAAUACCCAUAUCUUUGGGAGCUCAUUUUGGAGAGCCUUUUAAAUAAACUGAACAUAAAAGCAGACGUGUUGCUGUAUCACAAAAUGUUGAACCAAGAUUUAAAAAAUAAUGAGGGGCUUUCCUGGUGGUGCAGUGGUUAGGAAUCCGCCUGCCAAUUCAGGGGACACAGGUUCAAGCCCUGGCCCAGGAAGAUCCCACAUGCCUUGGAGCAACUAAGCCUGUGCGCCACAAUUACUGAGCCUGUGCUCUAGAGGUCGUGCCCUGCAGUAAAAGAAGCCACCGCAAUGAGAAGCCCACGCACCACAAUGAAGAGUAGCCCCUGCUCUCCACAACUAGAGAAAGCCUGCAAGCAGCAAAGAAGACCCAACACAGCCAAUAAAUAGAUAAAUAAGUAAAUUUAUUAAAAAAAUAAGGCAUAUUCAAUUAUUGUUCUCCUUAAAAGGCUUUGUUAACAGUAACAUUCUAGAGAAAAGUCUACUUUGUAUUAUUAGUAAUACUUUUAAAAUGAUUUACAGUAUUAUUUACUUCAUGUUUGUCUCAUCUACUGAAAAUUUUCUAUUUUGGUAUGUUUUAUUGUAUUCAUAAUAUAUUAACAGUAAUAUAUGCAUGUCAUUUAUAAAAACAUUGGGUGUGUGCUCAAAAUUCUUUCCGAUAGGGUGCUCAGUCAAAAAAGUUUGGAGACUACUGGUCUGGUGUCUAAGGCUGUGUCUUAGAGAGCAAGCUUAGAAGGAUACCAUAGUGGAGUCUUGGGCUGCCAGGAAGCAGGACAGGGCUUUGGGCUGGCUGCCACUGAAAGGGAGGCUGUGAGAGAGGAAGUAAAGGGGAGACAGGAGAAGGUAACAGAUAAACUACAGACCUACUUGCCUAGAAAACAGCCCAGUGAAAACUAUAUUUGUAUUGUAUUAACUAAUCUAAUGAGAGAUAAAGUUUGCAAAUUUACACAAAAAUCACAAAAUUCAAGAUUAGCUUUUUAAAAAAACAAAACAAAACAAAAAAACAACCAGAGCUUGCAGUACUUCACAUAGAAUAACCUAAGCAAAGCCAUGUACCAGAGUCAGUAAUCAUAUACUCAGUCCUAAGAAAAGUUACCCGGAUAAUUCUUCCCAGAGAAAUAGCUAUCAGUUUUCUUCUAAAUCGUAAAUUUCUUCUAAACUACAAGGCUGCAAUGUCAUUAAUUCUGUUUGGAGAAGCUAAAGCAAGAAUCCAGAACGUUAUGUAUAUGCAAAAUCCAACUAUCCUAAGCUCUUUCAGAAAAGGUCUAAAAUGUUCAUUUGUUUGUUUGUUUGAACUUAUAUUAUCCACCCAGCUCUAUUAUUGUGCCCAGUCAUGUUUUUCAAACAACUGUUCUUUUUUUCAGUUAAAAUAUUACUUCAAAAUGCUAGAAUAUAUGUUCCUUGGAAUCAGGAUUACCUGUUUCUUACCAGCAUUUUUCAAAGGUUUGAACUUCUAAUAAACCUGGUUGU